GAGAGGGAGAUAGGGGGAAAAAGGAGUGAGGGAGUGAGGGAGGGAGAGAGUGAGGGAGGGAAAGAAUAAAAUAUUUCUAACUCCUAACUCUUAACUCCUAACUCCUAACUCUUUUUACUCUCCUUCAUCAUCGUC
rnacentral:miRNA from 1 species